rnacentral:rRNA from 1 species
GUAGGGAAUAUUGGACAAUGGGGGAAACCCUGAUCCAGCAACGCCGCGUGGGCGAUGACGCAUCUUGGUGUGUAAAGCCCUGUCAGUGGGGACGAAACGUCGGUAGAGGAAAUGAUAUCGACCUGACUGUACCCGCAGAGGAAGUUCCGGCUAACUCCGUGCCAGCAGCCGCGGUAAUACGGGGGGAACUAGCGUUGUUCGGAUUUACUGGGCGUAAAGGGCACGCAGGCGGGGAUGCAAGUCAGAUGUGAAAACCCGAAGCUUAACUCCGGGCCGGCAUUUGAUACUGCAUCUCUUGAGUACGGGAGAGGAUGAUAGAAUUCUUGGUGUAGCGGUGAAAUGCGUAGAUAUCAAGAGGAAUACCGGUGGCGAAGGCGAUCAUCUGGCCCGAUACUGACGCUCAGGUGCGAAGGUCGGGGGAGCAAACAGGAUUAGAUACCCCGGUAGUCC